GGUCAUUUCUCAUGCACAGACAUCGAUGAAUGCCUCUCCGAUGGGGUCUGUCCAGAGUAUGCUGAGUGUAUCAACUCCUUGGGAAGCUACAAUUGCAGCUGCCAGGUUGGAUUCAUCUCUCACAACUCGAUCUGUGAAGACGUGGAUGAAUGUGCCGACCCCGCAACUUGCCCGGAGCACGCAACUUGUCACAACAGUCCUGGAAGCUACUCUUGUGUCUGCAACCUAGGAUUUGAACCCAGCAGUGGAAACAUGAGCUUGCAGGGCCCAGGAGACACAUGUGAAGAUGUGGACGAAUGUGCCAGGAACUCAACUCUUUGUGGCCUCAGCUCAGUGUGUACCAACACCCCGGGGGAAUACCACUGCUCCUGCCUGCCUGGGUUCUUUUCACCUGUCGAUUGGACCCUUGAGGAACCAGAGGAUUUCAGAUGUACAGGUAAUGCUCCCAGCCAUGCUGAGGACUUUUCAUGGAUGUCAACGUACCCUGAAGAGAGUGGCUUACAAACAACCCUUUCUGCUUGCUCAUGAUCCUGUGGGUUGACUGCAUGG